UUUGAGUCGAGUCUUCAUACUCGACUUCAUUAAGGGCUUCAUACUAUGCUGUCUCUUACUAGUUACUAUGCUGUUCUUUCAAGUAUUUCUGGUUUAGCAGAGUCACCACAUUGAGAAAACUAUUUGAGAAAUAUUCACACUCAAUUUCAUAAAGGCUAUUCAUGUGGUAUGAUUCCAAAGCCUACUGUAAGCAAAUUCAGCUGUGACAGAACAAACCUCAUUUCUUUUAAAGUUCACCAUCGACUAAUUCAUCAAGAUAAGCUUGAGAAAGUAAGAGCAACAUAUAAGUU
rnacentral:lncRNA from 1 species